rnacentral:rRNA from 1 species
AUACGGAGGUUGCGAGCGUUAAUCGGAAUUACUGGGCGUAAAGCGUACGUAGGCGGUUUGCUAAGUCAGAUGUGAAAGCCCCGGGCUUAACCUGGGAACUGCAUUUGAUACUGGCAGACUAGAGUAUGAUAGAGGGGGGUAGAAUUCCUGGUGUAGCGGUGAAAUGCGUAGAUAUCAGGAGGAAUACCAGUGGCGAAGGCGGCCCCCUGGAUCAAUACUGACGCUGAGGUACGAAAGCGUGGGGAGCGAACAGGAUUAGAUACCCUAGUAGUCC